AAUAGAUACCCUGGUAGUCCACGCCGUAAACGUUGGGUACUAGGUGUGGCGUCCCGAUUAACGGAUGCCGUGCCGAAGCUAACGCAUUAAGUACCCCGCCUGGGGAGUACGGCCGCAAGGCUAAAACUCAAAGGAAUUGACGGGUCCCCGCACAAGCGGCGGAGCAUGCGGCUUAAUUCGAUGCAACCCGAAGAACCUUACCUGGACUUGACAUCAUGGGAAAAGCCGUAGAAAUACGGUGUCCGUAAGGGCCCAUGACAGGUGGUGCAUGGCUGUCGUCAGCUCGUGUCGUGAGAUGUUGGGUUAAGUCCCGCAACGAGCGCAACCCUUGUCCUAUGUUGCCAGCACGUUAUGGUGGGGACUCAUAGGAGACCGCCGGGGACAACUCGGAGGAAGGUGAGGACGACGUCAAGUCAUCAUGCCCCUUAUGUCCAGGGCUGCACGCAUGCUACAAUGGCCGGUACAAUAGGCAGCGAACUCGCGAGGGUGAGCGAAUCCUUUAAAGCCGGCCUCAGUUCGGAUUGGAGU
rnacentral:rRNA from 1 species